CCUACGGGAGCCAGCAGUGAGGAAUAUUGGUCAAUGGACGCAAGUCUGAACCAGCCAUGCCGCGUGCAGGAAGACGGCUCUAUGAGUUGUAAACUGCUUUUGUACGAGGGUAAACGCAGAUACGCGUAUCUGUCUGAAAGUAUCGUACGAAUAAGGAUCGGCUAACUCCGUGCCAGCAGCCGCGGUAAUACGGAGGAUUCAAGCGUUAUCCGGAUUUAUUGGGUUUAAAGGGUGCGUAGGCGGUCGGAUAAGUUAGAGGUGAAAUCCCGAGGCUCAACCUCGGAAUUGCCUCUGAUACUGUUAGGCUAGAGAGUAGUAGCGGUAGGCGGAAUGUAUGGUGUAGCGGUGAAAUGCUUAGAGAUCAUACAGAACACCGAUUGCGAAGGCAGCUUACCAAGCUACUUCUGACGUUGAGGCACGAAAGCGUGGGGAGCAAACAGGAUUAGAUACCCCAGUAGUC
rnacentral:rRNA from 1 species